rnacentral:rRNA from 1 species
UGGGGAAUUUUGGACAAUGGGCGAAAGCCUGAUCCAGCAAUGCCGCGUGUGUGAAGAAGGCCUUCGGGUUGUAAAGCACUUUUGUCCGGAAAGAAAUCCUUGGCUCUAAUACAGUCGGAGGAUGACGGUACCGGAAGAAUAAGCACCGGCUAACUACGUGCCAGCAGCCGCGGUAAUACGUAGGGUGCAAGCGUUAAUCGGAAUUACUGGGCGUAAAGCGUGCGCAGGCGGUUUGCUAAGACCGAUGUGAAAUCCCCGGGCUCAACCUGGGAACUGCAUUGGUGACUGGCAGGCUAGAGUAUGGCAGAGGGGGGUAGAAUUCCACGUGUAGCAGUGAAAUGCGUAGAGAUGUGGAGGAAUACCGAUGGCGAAGGCAGCCCCCUGGGCCAAUACUGACGCUCAUGCACGAAAGCGUGGGGAGCAAAACAGGAUUAGAUACCCUGGUAGUCCACGCCCUAAAACGAUGUCAACUAGUUGUUGGGGAUUCAUUUCCUUAGUAACGUAGCUAACGCGUGAAGUUGACCGCCUGGGGAGUACGGUCGCAAGAUUAAAACUCAAAGGAAUUGACGGGGUCAUAGCUGUUUCCU